AGAACUCUCAACACUUGAAUCACCAUAUAGCAGUCUACAUCCGGGUGGUGCCUUGAUUUUUGAAGAUUUAGUUAAAAGCAGUGAUAAAAUUGGUACAUAAAUUACAGUGCAUUUCUCGAUAUGCAACAACAUUAAGAGCAACUUAAAGACAACAGUCAUCAAGAAAUCUAGUAUUUAAAAUGUACAAAGAGCAGUAGUAAACAUAUGUAUUUUAUGGCUGACUUUAUCCAUAAUAAAUGUUGGAUUAAAUCAUCAAAAUAAAACACAAACAGAUAAUUAUCGAGUUUUUCAAUGGAGGAUAGAGAGGAAGACAUGCAUGCACAACUACUAGAUCUAUAUGGUGCCAUACUGCCAGUAAAAAUUUAAAGACACACAUGACAACAUUAUUUUGGUGAAGUUCUAAUAUUGCAACCAUGGAGGAAAAAUCAGCAAAUCUUAAAUAGAUGUAGUAGUCCAAAUGAUAAAAGUUUGUCUCAAGAUAAUAUUUCAAUAACUGCAAAUGCAUUGUGUUGAACCUAACCUCUUGUGUUUCACGGUAAUGAACAAGGACAAUGUGUU
rnacentral:lncRNA from 1 species